CCUACGGGAGACAGCAGUGAGGAAUAUUGGGCAAUGGGCGGAAGCCUGAACGAGCCAAGUCGCGUGAGGGAUGAAGGUUCUAUGGAGGGUAAACCUCGUUGAUAAGGGAAUAAAGUGCGGGACGUGUCCCGUUUUGUAUGUACCUUAUGAAUAAGGAUCGGCGAACGCCGUGCCAGCAGCCGCGGUAAUACGGAGGAGCCGAGCGUUAUCCGGAUUUAGUGGGUUUAAAGGGUGCGUAGGCGGCCUUUUAAGUCAGCGGUGAAAGUCUGUGGCUCAACCCUAGAAUUGCCGUUGAAACUGGGAGGCUUGAGUGUGUUUGAGGCAGGCGGAAUGCGUGGUGUCGCGGUGAAAUGCUUAGAUAUCACGCAGAACCCCGAUUGCGAAGGCAGCCUGCCAAGCCAUGACUGACGCUGAUGCACGAAAGCGUGGGGAUCAAACAGGAUUAGAUACCCGUGUAGUC
rnacentral:rRNA from 1 species